rnacentral:rRNA from 1 species
UACGUAGGCAGCGAGCGUUGUUCGGAGUUACUGGGCGUAAAGGGUGUGUAGGCGGUCUUUUAAGUUUGGUGUGAAAUCUCCCGGCUUAACCGGGAGGGUGCGCCGAAUACUGAGGGACUAGAGUGCGGGAGAGGAAAGUGGAAUUCCUGGUGUAGCGGUGAAAUGCGUAGAUAUCAGGAGGAACACCUGUGGUGUAGACGGCUUUCUGGACCAUAGCUGACGCUGAGACACGAAAGCGUGGGUAGCAAACAGG